UGCCCUAGUAACGGCGAGUGAAGCGGCAACAGCUCAAAUUUGAAAUCUGGCUCUUUCAGGGUCCGAGUUGUAAUUUGCAGAGGGUGCUUUGGCGUUGGCUGCGGUCUAAGUUCCUUGGAACAGGACGUCACAGAGGGUGAGAAUCCCGUACGUGGCUGCAUGCCUUGGCCGUGUAAAGCCCCUUCGACGAGUCGAGUUGUUUGGGAAUGCAGCUCUAAAUGGGAGGUAAAUUUCCUCUUAAGCUAAAUACUGGCCAGAGACCGAUAGCGCACAAGUAGAGUGAUCGAAAGAUGAAAAGCACUUUGGAAAGAGAGUCAAACAGCACGUGAAAUUGUUGAAAGGGAAGCGCUUGCAGCCAGACUUGCCUGCAGUUGCUCACCCGGGCUCCUGCCCGGGGCACUCUUCUGUAGGCAGGCCAGCAUCAGUCCGGGCGGUCGGAAAAUGGCCUCUAUCACGUACAUCCCCUCGGGAAGACCUUAUAGGGAGGGGGUAAUGCGUCCAGCCUGGACUGAGGUCCGCGCAUCUGCUAGGAUGCUGGCGUAAUGGCUGUAAGCGGCCCGUCUUGAAACACGGACCAAGGAGUCUAACAUCUAUGCGAGUGUUUGGGUGUAAAGCCCGGGCGCGCAAUGAAAGUGAACGGAGGUGGGAACCCUCUGGGUGCACCAUCGACCGAUCCUGAUGUCUUCGGAUGGAUUUGAGUAAGAGCAUAGCUGUUGGGACCCGAAAGAUGGUGAACUAUGCCUGAAUAGGGUGAAGCCAGAGGAAACUCUGGUGGAGGCUCGCAGCGGUUCUGACGUGCAAAUCGAUCGUCAAAUUUGGGCAUAGGGGCGAAAGACUAAUCGAACUAUCUAGUAGCUGGUUCCUGCCGAAGUUUCCCUCAGGAUAGCAGUAACGUUUUCAGUUUUAUGAGGUAAAGCGAAUGAUUAGAGGCCUGGGGGUUGAAACAACCUUCACCUAUUCUCAAACUUUAAAUAUGUAAGAAGUCCUUGUUACUUAAUUGAACGUGGACAUUUGAAUGUACCGUUACUAGUGGGCCAUUUUUGGUAAGCAGAACUGGCGAUGCGGGAUGAACCGAACGCGGGGUUAAGGUGCCAGAAUGCACGCUCAUCAGACACCACAAAAGGUGUUAGUUCAUCUAGACAGCAGGACGGUGGCCAUGGAAGUCGGAAUCCGCUAAGGAGUGUGUAACAACUCACCUGCCGAAUGAACUAGCCCUGAAAAUGGAUGGCGCUCAAGCGUGCUACCCAUACCCCGCCGCCAGGGCAGAAAUUACGCCCUGGCGAGUAGGCAGGCGUGGAGGCUCGUGACGAAGCC
rnacentral:rRNA from 1 species